UUUACAUCGCAUAUGUACAUGGGUGCAUAAAGCGCUUGCCUUUCACUACUGGCCUAUUUACAGGCAAUACAUGUAUAAUAGAUUGUGCUUGUUUCCUAUGUCACAAGGGUUGUCUCGGGGCUGUCCUGUUUUCCUUUCUCUGGAGAAAACAUACACUCUUUCUAUCUCCAUUUUCAAAGGUGCCCAUUCCUAGCCUUGCAGUUUGUUCAUUCGUAGCCGCUUCCUCCGCAUCAGUUUCUUAGCGAUGCAGCCAGAUGUUUCAUUCCUUUCGCCACAUCCAAAGCGAACUCAAGCAGUUUCUUCGAAGACAGAACAACUCCUUGACUAUUAUCCUCAUCCACGUGUCGAGCUUUCCUCAGGUAGGAGCGAAGGUCACCGUUGGAUUUAAAACAAACACAAGAUGGCAGUUAUUGUUUGUCUGUUGGCGUUACUAAGUGCUACGGUUGUUGCUUCUUCAUGUCCAUCAGAACUAAAUACGAGUCAACUACGUGUAGUUGGAACGCACCAGUUUUACCCAGUCGAAAAUCACAUCUUUAGCGGUGCGGCUUACAGCAACAAGACGGCUCGCUCCUACUUGACGUGUGCAAUUUUCUGUUUGCAAGAUGGCUUCUGCAAGUCGUUUAAUUUCUGCACGGGUAGCAAGUUAUGCAGUCACAACUCAGAAGCACAUUCAAUGGAUGCACUCCCACUAAAACCAUCUGACGGAUGUUUAUACUUUGACGAAACAAUACCAGAAGUUGGCAGCAAUGCUCCAUGUGCAACAUACAGGAAAGCAGCCGGUAGCACAACUGUUAUCUAUGACGGACAAUUCCCAGAGCGAAUUCAUCUCUCUAUUUUAAC